AGAGCCAAAUGUAGCCAAGGACAAACUUGCCGGCAACUUGCAAACGAGGCGCUAUCUCGAGGCAAUUCCGGCAAGUCAUCCUUGGCUGCAUUCCACUCUCC
rfam:Musa acuminata subsp. malaccensis Doubled-haploid Pahang (DH-Pahang) genomic chromosome, chr3